rnacentral:Y_RNA from 1 species
GGCUGGUCCGAAGGUAGUGAGUUAUCUCAAUUGAUUGUUCACAGUCAGUUACAGAUCGAACUCCUUGUUCUACUCUUUCCCCCCUUCUCACUACUGCACUUGACUAGUCUUU